rnacentral:rRNA from 1 species
CACGUAGUUAGCCGGUGCUUAUUCUUACGGUACCGUCAUUAGCCCUCUUUAUUAGAAAAGGCCGUUUCGUUCCGUACAAAAGCAGUUUACAACCCGAAGGCCUUCAUCCUGCACGCGGCAUGGCUGGAUCAGGCUUGCGCCCAUUGUCCAAAAUUCCCCACUGCUGCCUCCCGUAGGAGUCUGGGCCGUGUCUCAGUCCCAGUGUGGCUGGUCGUCCUCUCAGACCAGCUACAGAUCGUCGGCUUGGUGAGCCUUUACCCCACCAACUACCUAAUCUGCCAUCGGCCGCUCCGUCCGCGCAAGGUCUUGCGAUCCCCUGCUUUCAUCCGUAGAUCGUAUGCGGUAUUAGCACAGCUUUCGCUGCGUUAUCCCCCGACGAUCGGGCACGUUCCGAUGUAUUACUCACCGUUCGCCACUCGUCAGCAUCCGAAGACCUGUUACCGUUCGACUUGCAUGUGUAAGGCAUGCCGCCAGCGUUCAAUCUGAGCCAGGAUCAAA